GAAGAAACACAAUCUUUUGACAUUCACCCCUCAAAAAAGGACAUUUAUGGCGCUUGGUAGUUGUUUGAAUGUUUGAGUUAGCUGCUUUACUAGAGCCUCUGUGUGUAACUUAGUGUCAGUAAUUAGCCUUGGCCCGUCCCAACGAUGUGUGGAGUAGCGUCGACGUUUCAGUAAUUAGCCGUGACCCGUAACGUUACCAACGUUGUUUCAGUAAUUAGCCAUGGCCUGUUCCAACGAUGUGGGUGGAGAGGCGUCGGCAUUUCAGAAAUUAGCCUUGACCAGGUAAAAGUAGUCUACAAUGCUGCUGCGUGUCAUCAUAUCAGAAAAUGAAGACAUCCCAUCCAGUGUUGAGGAGCUGUAUCAGGUGUUGCGAACAAAGCUUGGUCUGAGAGGUGGAUUCAUUUUGCAAUAAUCAGUAAUGCAACCUAAUCAGUGUGCAACCUAACAGACAUCAAAGACCUUCCUGUGAGGUGGGCAACUGUGAAAGUGUUGUUCACAGCUGAUGACGUCUCAGAUUCUACACUGGACACUUGCAGCCUCCCUUCUCUUAGUAGAGAUUGUGUUGAAUGGCCUGACCCCUUCCCGAUUCCACAGUUCUCACAUGAUGUGGAGCUGCAGCUGAAAGAAGCCAAUGCUAAGGAUGGAUCUGUAAUGGUGAUUCCUAAAGGUUUAAAGACAUUCUUGAUAUACUGGCCGACAGUAUGUCAAAGAUUAGUGCUUAUCCUGAGAGGCAUCACUAUGAGAAUGAAGCCAAAGCACUUGUGGAGAAGCAUCCUAGUCUGAAGGAGCCAAGGUCAGAAAAGGGAUGGUACUCGUGGUUUCACAGCCUGAAAUUUAAGCUUGGAAACUAUCGGCAAAAGUUAAGUGCAGCAGGAUGCCCUGAAGUGGUGGUAAAGAAAAGGAGAAGGUUCGAAGGGGAAAGUGUAAAGAAGUCAAAGAAGGGUGAGGUCAACUACUGUCCAGAUCCGCCUGAAGGACAGAGUCCUGAAAACAUGGAGGAGAAGUGUAAUAUGAUGGAGGCUGAAAUGCUGAAGAGACCCUGAUCCCCAGCUGGUAGAAGACCUGAUGGUUGCUACGUUUUCCCAGCGCAGAAAAGAGAUAAUUGGAGAUCAGCCACUCAUCACAGAAGUCAUUUCCAGAUGGCCACCUCUGUUGCAUGAGAGACAGAUCAGGACGGAGUUCAAGAGAAUGGUCACCAAAGACCUUCUGGAAUAUUUUCUCGACAGACGUGAUGGCCUGGUCCCAAGACUGCUAGAGGUGUACAAAGCAGCAACCAAGACUGGAAAGAAGCAAUCACUCAAAGAUAUUUUGGACUGCCUUCAGAAAGAUGAUACAAAUGAGAAGAGAAGGACUGCUGCCUUGCUUGGUCUGCCACACUACAUAUCAGGCGAAGAUCCAUCAACUGUAGUCAGGAUGUGACGCUCACAGGGAGACUCUGGAUGAAACCAUGAAGGGGAUGCAACUUGGCCUGCUGAUAGGCUAUGAAGGUGCUGAACGGGAUGCCUUUCCACGGGAGGUCUUCGAGAUAGCUGUUGUGGUUGAGGAGACAACAUUAAAGAUGUGGCAUGCAGCUUUGCCAUGCUCAUGGGUGUCAUCUACUGUGUCAAUCUCGA